GAGAGGGCGAGAGCUCAAGGAAGAAGGGGACGAUGAGAUGAUUAGGGUAGCGAAGGUAGCGGACCGACAGUAGCUAGACCAAGUCAAAGGGCCGGGGUUAGAUAGUAAUAAAUUAGUAUUUGACCCGUGCGAUGCACGGAUAAUAUAAUAAUAUAAAAUAACAAAAGUUAUUAUGUGAUGAUAAAAAAAAAAUUCAAAUUAAUAUUAUAUUUUUUUAACAAAUAAAGAAAUAUACUAUCAAUCUUAAUUAUACUACAUAUUAAAGUACAAAAGGUAGAGAAAAAAAUUAUGGACCAAAGUAAAUACUCAAGUAAAAAGCAAAAUUCAACCCUACUCUAUUAUCUAUGAAUUGGUGUGCAAAAUAAUUUACAUUUACAUAUUGAUGUGCAAAAUAAAAUGAUAACUAAAUUGAUAUGAAAAAUUACAAAUGACAUUAAUAUUUAAGCAUAUAAUGAGAUCAACUAAACUUUCAUAUUUGACACAAAUUAGAAUAAGCACACGUAUAUAAGAGACAUACAAACUAUUAAGAUUCAAAAAUAUAUAGAUGUUGGUCUUCAAGAAAAUAUAAAGAAAAAAAAUUUUGUUGCAUGAAGAUGAAAAGUAAUUGCUCCAAUAACAAUAUAGAUAAAUUGUUAAAUAUGUGAAAUGAUAAAUAUUAUAAUAUUAGUGAAUUUUUUCAGAAAAAUAUCUAAAUUUAUUUAAAAAAUAAAAUGACAGAGUUGAAUUGUUGAAAAAUUAUAAAUUUUGAAAUAACAUGAUGAAAAAUAAACCGUUCACCUAUUUUAAGUUCUGAAACACUUCUUUAAAACCACAUUGCUUCUGGUUUUGAAUAACAAACCAUCUUUAUCACAAAAUGCUACUUAUAAAUAAUGUUACUUAUAAAUAAUGUUUAUAUCUAUAUUUAUAUUAGCAAGAAAACUCAAAGAAUAUAAAGUAUCGUUAUUUAAGAUGUAAACAUGAGUGUCGUAUUAUAAAGUUAUCAGAUUGAUAAAUACAAUAUAAUUUGUUUUGGAUAUAACUAUCAAUCUAGUCAUCUAUUUAUAAUAAUAAGCAGCUAACUGAAAAAAUUAUUUCAUAAAUGAUUAAUUUUAAUAGUAUUAGCUAAUCUCUUUUCUAUAUUUUUUAUUUAUUUUUUGAGUUACAAACUAAAUAAAUAUUGAGAUAUCAGUAAAAUAAAUGAUAGGCAACACAUGUAGACCAAGCUAUAUAUGCAUCAUAAAUCUCAUGCUAUGAAACGAAAGCAACUUCUCUACUUAGAGUUUUAUGAGACAAUCAAAUAAACAACUNNNNNNNNNNNNNNNNNNNNNNNNNNNNNNNNNNNNNNNNNNAAGCCCAUGUGACCAUCUCACCCUCCUUCUCUUCAUCCCUUUCUCACAAAAAAAAAAAAAAAAAAACCUAUCCUCUCUCAAAACACUAUACCUAACCCACAUCAAUUAAGUUUUUAAAAAUAAAUCUGAUAUUUUUUAAAAAAAAACUUUUUAGAGAAUAGUAUUAUAUUUUUCAUAAAUUUUAAAUAAUAUAAAAUUAUAUUUGUGAGUAAAAUUACUAUUAUGGUAUCUUAUAAUUUUUUAGUUUAUACGAAUCAAACAAUGAAAUGUGAAUAACUCAUUCAAAUUUCUAAUCCACAAAUGAACUAAACGUUUUGGGAGAGUGAGCCAAUCCAAUUACCAUUCCAAUUUAUUCACAUUCCAUUAUCCAUUCCAAUUCCAUCCUUGAACGAAACAAGCCCUAAGAAUUAUCCAAAUUUUUUACCACCAGAGCCAAAAAGAAAAAUU
rnacentral:lncRNA from 1 species